rnacentral:lncRNA from 1 species
UAAAAGACUAUUAAAAUAAAAGAAUAAGACUAUUAAUGUUGUCGUGAAAGUUGGUGUUGAGUGUGGUUGUGUUCUUGGGGUGGUUAUGACAGCAGGAGAAAUAGGAGUUGGAUCUGGAUCUCUUCUGGGUCUGUGAGGAUGUGGAAGUUGAAGAAGGUUUGGUGGAAGAGAAUUAGGUGGUUUGAUGAUAAUGUGAAGUUGUUCGGGGUGGAUCACUGAAAAUCAACGUUUGAGAUUAAGGAGGUUGGUCACUUCUUUCCCCUAUUGGUGAUGAUAAUUUGGAGGAAGAUGAAUUUCUAUUGGAAAGGUUAUAACCCAAAGUGCUAGGCAUCUCUAUUACCUUAUCUUGCUCUCUCAUGUCCAUGAAUAAAGAAGGCCAAGAU